UACGUAGGGUGCAAGCGUUGUCCGGAAUUAUUGGGCGUAAAGAGCUCGUAGGCGGUCUGUCGCGUCGGAUGUGAAAACCCAGGGCUCAACCCUGGGCCUGCAUUCGAUACGGGCAGACUAGAGUUCGGUAGGGGAGACUGGAAUUCCUGGUGUAGCGGUGAAAUGCGCAGAUAUCAGGAGGAACACCGGUGGCGAAGGCGGGUCUCUGGGCCAAUACUGACACUCAGGUGCGACAGCGUGGGGAGCAAACAGG
rnacentral:rRNA from 1 species